rnacentral:rRNA from 1 species
GUGGGCGCACUAAACCCAGAGGCGUAAUGAAAGUGACACGGGUUCGGCUGUCGCCUCGUGCGGCAGCCGGACUCAGGGCCGAUCCCUCACCGGUUGCCCUCGCCUCUUUCCCCCCGCGUCCCGGUAAGUCGGGUGAGCUAUUUUCCCCGGCCGCUGCUGCGGGGCGUGUUCUGGGGGGUGGCGGGGUUGCGAUGGUGUCCGUAAAAAAGAGCCUGCUUUGGCAGGGGGGCGCAGGCCCGGGACUUGCCAGGACGCCGCGCGACUGUCACUUUGCUGUGAGGCUUUCCGGCCGAUCAGCGGGUCAUGCGUGCAGUCGGCAAGUACCAUGAGCAGACAUGUUGGGACCCGAAAGAUGGUGAACUAUGCCUGGCCAGGAUGAAGCCAGAGGAAACUCUGGUGGAGGUCCGUAGCGAUUCUGACGUGCAAAUCGAUCGUCGGAGCUGGGUAUAGGG